rnacentral:rRNA from 1 species
CAGUAGCCGCGGUAAUACGAAGGGGGCUAGCGUUGCUCGGAAUCACUGGGCGUAAGGGGUGCGUAGGCGGGUCUUUAAGUCAGGGGUGAAAUCCUGGAGCUCAACUCCAGAACUGCCUUUGAUACUGAAGAUCUUGAGUUCGGGAGAGGUGAGUGGAACUGCGUGUGUAGAGGUGAAAUUCGUAGAUAUUCGCAAGAACACCAGUGGCGAAGGCGGCUCACUGGCCCGAUACUGACGCUGAGGCACGAAAGCGUGGGGAGCGAACAGGAUUAGAUACCCCCGUAGUCCCUGUCUCUUAUAC